rnacentral:sRNA from 1 species
GCAGAGCUCCCUCCCAGGCCCGCGAACUUGGCCAUUCAGCCGCCGCUGUCCCCGCUGCGCGCCCUCGCGCCUCUGCCUGAGAAGCCAGGCGCUGUUCCACCACCCUAGAAGAGGAUGGCAAAGGUGGCUAAGGACCUCAACCCAGGAGUUAAAAAGAUGUCGCUGGGCCAGCUGCAGUCAGCAAGAGGUGUGGCAUGUUUGGGAUGCAAGGGGACAUGUUCGGGCUUCGAGCCACAUUCAUGGAGGAAAAUAUGCAAGUCUUGCAAAUGCAGCCAAGAGGACCACUGCCUAACCUCCGACCUAGAAGACGAUCGGAAAAUUGGCCGCUUGCUGAUGGACUCCAAGUAUUCCACCCUCACUGCUCGGGUGAAAGGCGGGGACGGCAUCCGGAUUUACAAGAGGAACCGGAUGAUCAUGACCAACCCUAUUGCCACUGGGAAAGAUCCCACUUUUGACACCAUCACCUACGAGUGGGCUCCCCCUGGAGUCACCCAGAAACUGGUAAGAGAGCUUCCCCAACCAAACAGUUGUUUUCCUAUCCUCAUAAAUACUAGCCAUGUCAAGUGUUUCUGAACUUCA